rnacentral:rRNA from 1 species
ACUUCGGGAAACCGGAGCUAAUACCGGAUAACAUAUUUAACCGCAUGGUUCAAUAGUGAAAGGCGGCUUUGCUGUCACUUAUAGAUGGAUCCGCGCCGUAUUAGCUAGUUGGUAAGGUAACGGCUUACCAAGGCGACGAUGCGUAGCCGACCUGAGAGGGUGAUCGGCCACACUGGAACUGAGACACGGUCCAG